UACGUAGGGUGCGAGCGUUGUCCGGAAUUAUUGGGCGUAAAGAGCUUGUAGGCGGUUUGUCGCGUCUGCUGUGAAAUUUCGGGGCUCAACCCCGAACUUGCAGUGGGUACGGGCAGACUAGAGUGUGGUAGGGGAGACUGGAAUUCCUGGUGUAGCGGUGGAAUGCGCAGAUAUCAGGAGGAACACCGAUGGCGAAGGCAGGUCACUGGGCCGCAACUGACGCUGAGGAGCGAAAGCGUGGGUAGCGAACAGG
rnacentral:rRNA from 1 species